UUUAAUGUUUCACAGGUUCUUCUCAUCCUGACUGCCCUACAGCCCUCCAUCUUCUCAGUCUUGGCCAACGGUGGGCAGAUUGCUUGUUCGCCUCCCUAUUCCUCUAAAACCAGGUCUCAAGUGAUGAAUUGCCACCUCCUCAUACUGGAGACUUUUCUAAUGACUGUGCUGACACGAAUGUACUACCGAAGGAAAGACCACAGGGUUGGGUAUGAAACUUUCUCUUCUCCAGACCUGGACUUGAACCUCAAAGCCUAAGGUGGAUGGCUUGGACAAUGAAAGGAUGCUGUACUCGUUAGAAUACAAGAUUCCUUUACUGUCCCUCAACCUUGACCAAAUGGGAAGCACUCCCCCUUGUCAACACAAGCUGGCAGAUACAUUUGACUCUACAGAUGAAGGUGAACAAUGUUAGGAUAAAAUUGCUUUGGAUCUUGCCUGGAAGGUGUUUUAAGUUUUGUAAUAAACAAGAUGAUGUCUGAAAA
rnacentral:sRNA from 1 species